AACCCACUGGGGCCCACCUGGGGCUGUUUUGGGCAGCCCGUUGUUGGGAUGUGAAUGGGCUAACCGAUUGGGGCCCGCGAGACAUUGCUAUUAUGGCUGGGCUAACCAACUGGGGCCUGAGAGGGGAGUUGAUGGGCUUUUCAACGUUAACUUGCAUAAAGUAUUAAUUUCUAGAGACAGCAAAUAUUUUAAAAAUUACUUUAUUUGAAUCAAUAUAAAUUAGAAAUAUUUGAUCGACGCUAUAAAAACACCAAAUGAAAUAAUAUAUGGCUACUAAGUGAUAAAAAAAAAUAUUUUAGUCUUAAAUCGAUUUAUUUGAAUAUAUAUACAUAUAUAUUUUAAACAGUUCUGCUUUGGCCCCAAUCACCCUAAAUGGAUUGGGCUGAACGUAGGACUGCCUAUUAGAAUGCGUAACAAGCACAUGCAGCAGCACAGUGGCGAAAGGCCAAGCCAUGUACACAGCUGCGCACAAUUGGCGAUCGGACAAAGUACGAGCUAACAGGAACAAGGAACGAGCUCACUAAUUCUCGCGAGAGCGGCAAGAAGUUCGCGCUCUUUUCAACGUUGAGAUCGCACAAGGAACAAACAGACAGAGCAGACUGACAAAAGAAUCUAGCACAGUUAAUCUUCAUUAUCGGUGUCCUUUGUGAGCGACUUGGGAGGACGGACAGUGGAUGAAGCCACAAGGAGAAUGAUGGGAUAUGUUCUCACAAAUCCACUCUCCCUCCAAUUCAAUCUGAUAGGGCGUCAUGGGAAGAGGGCGUUUGGGACCUCCAGGGUUUUCGAACUGGUCUAUCGUGCUUUGAAGAACAAUACCCGGACAUCAGCCAUAAACAAAAAGGAGUUUGAAAAAGCGGUCUCCAAAUGGCUGAGCAAUGGGAGGGACCGAGAUGGUAAUCGUGCCAAAAGAGCCAUGGCAGAGAGGGCCAGAACAGCUAGUUUAGAUAGUUAGUGUUUUAUGUAGGUUUUAAAUGUAGUUUUUGUCUGUAAGUGGCACUAGGCCAUGUCCCACUAUAUGUAAUUCAAUGUAAGUUUAUUAUUUUUCCUGUAUGAGCCACCAUUACCCUCAGGUGCAUUUGUGCAUUGCACAGGCCAAAAAGGGGAUGGGAAAGGGCCAUCACCCACUCACUUGGUCUGUGCUCUUCACAUCUGUACCAGAGGUUCCAGUUCAUGGGAGGGGCAGUAAGGGGAUGGUACUGGGCCAUCACCCACUACACUGCUUCUCCUGUGGACUGGGACGGUAUUGGUUGAUACUCUUCCUAAGGUAAGCAAGGGAAGCUUUUGAAACUCACGGGAUGUAUAGUCUGUGUGUUAAAUAUGUGAAUAGGUCAUCAAUUUAAUGUAAAAAAUCAUUUUUUGUGCCAAUUUUCUGGGUGUGAACUUAACAAGUAUGACAUGUAGUCUUUAUGCCGUGCAUAUUUUGUGUAAUCAACUCCCAGUAGGAAAAGUAACCUUCUGUAACUCACACGAUUUGUAGUAUAGGUAACAAAUAUGUGCACAAGUCUUUCAUUUAGUAUAAAAAAAUCAUUUGUUGUCCCGAUUCCCCCAUUCUGUACUUAGCCAACUUUUAUAAGAAAUAUGACGUAGUCCUCAUUGUAGUCCAGAUUUUGUGUAAUCAACUCCUCCUAAGGUGUGCAGGGGAACCUUCUGUAACUCACACGAUUUGUAGUAUAGGUGAAUAGGUCAUCAAUUUAAUGUAAAAAAUCAUUUUUUGUGCCAAUUUUCUGCGUGUGAACUUAACAAGUAUGACAUGUAGUCUUUAUGCCGUGCAUAUUUUGUGUAAUCAACUCCCAGUAGGAAAAGUAACCUUCUGUAACUCACACGAUUUGUAGUAUAGGUAACAAAUAUGUGCACAAGUCUUUCAUUUAGUAUAAAAAAUCAUUUGUUGUCCCGAUUCCCCCAUUCUGUACUUAGCCAACUUUUAUAAGAAAUAUGACGUAGUCCUCAUUGUAGUCCAUAUUUUGUGUAAUCAACUCCUCCUAAGGUGUGCAGGGGAACCUUCUGUAACUCACACGAUUUGUAGUAUAGGUAUCAAAUAUGUCUACAGGUCUUUAAUUUAAAUGAAUAUUUUGUGAAGAAAAUGACAUAAUUGUUUGUCAUGUAACAAAGAGAAGCUACUCUCGCUCCUCAAGAGCAGAACGUGAUUCGGAAAUACCCAACUAACUGUACAUUAUUUCUCCUUCAUUUACAAUGGUGAGAAAGCUUUUGUUUCUGUUUGACUGUGACUGUCCACAAAUUUGAAGUGUUUUAUUCAUUCUGAGAAAAGAUUGUUCUGUUGACAACUUUCUAGUGGAUUAUGCUAUCUCUGAGUUUGUAUGAAAUAAAUUUUGGAGUAGUUCUACAAAAAUAUGAAAUGUGUUUGUCAGUGUACACAGAAUACAUAAGCAAUGGCAGAAAUUGCAUGUUCCAUUCCGGUCAGCAUGAAGGAAAAGUUUUGUAAAUUAUCUGUUCUCAAUCUUAAUCAAGGUUGGUGGCUUUCCUCCCUUGUAACUGGCAUGUGGGACCCUCUAAAAUGGCGCCAGAUCCACUU